AUUGAACGCUGGCGGCAUGCUUUACACAUGCAAGUCGAACGGCAGCGCGGGCUUCGGCCUGGCGGCGAGUGGCGAACGGGUGAGUAAUGCAUCGGAACGUGCCCAGUAGUGGGGGAUAGCCCGGCGAAAGCCGGAUUAAUACCGCAUACGACCUGAGGGUGAAAGCGGGGGACCGAAAGGCCUCGCGCUAUUGGAGCGGCCGAUGUCGGAUUAGCUAGUUGGUGGGGUAAAGGCUUACCAAGGCGACGAUCCGUAGCUGGUCUGAGAGGACGACCAGCCACACUGGGACUGAGACGCGGCCCAGACUCCUACGGGAGGCAGCAGUGGGGAAUUUUGGACAAUGGGGGCAACCCUGAUCCGGCCAUGCCGCGUGCGGGAAGAAGGCCUUCGGGUUGUAAACCGCUUUUGUUCGGGAAGAAAUCCUCUGGGCUAAUACCCCGGGGGGAUGACGGUACCGGAAGAAUAAGCACCGGCUAACUACGUG
rnacentral:rRNA from 1 species